rnacentral:rRNA from 1 species
UACGUAGGUGGCAAGCGUUGUCCGGAAUCAUUGGGCGUAAAGAGCGUGUAGGCGGCUUGGCAAGUCUGACGUGAAAGCCCGCGGCUCAACCGCGGAUUGUCGUUGGAAACUGCCUCGCUAGAGUCCGGAAGAGGAGAGCGGAAUUCCUGGUGUAGCGGUGGAAUGCGCAGAUAUCAGGAGGAACACCGGUGGCGAAGGCGGGUCUCUGGGCCUGUACUGACGCUGAGGAGCGAAAGCGUGGGGAGCGAACAGG